ACUUACUGUCAACCCCGCAGAUGUCACCAUAAAGAAGAGAGUGAGGACAAGUGUAAGCCAAGUCCUGAGUGAUGAACGACUGGAUGGAUAGAUGGACUGUUGGAAUAGUGGGAACCUGGAGGCCUGUACUGAGACUUGCUCUUCCUGUGCUCUGGGAGCACUUCCAGAUGCUAUCUGUGGGCACAAGGACCAGGGGGCCAGAAUCCAGGAUGUUCUUCAAAAAUGAGGGGUAGAGCCUGCCCAGUAUGCUCAAAACCUUGGAUUCCGUCCCCAGAACUGGAGGAGAACCUGAUUUCAGUGAUCUCAAGUAUCCACAAAACAAAGUCCAAGGGCCUCCCACAGUCACUCAAAUCUCCAUGUACUGUGAGUCCCUGUCCCUUGCCCACCAGCCCCUUCUGCCGCCCUCUCCCCUGCUGAGCUGGGUGUCUUCCCCUCUGUUCAUGUGUGUUUAAGUCUUGUUUGCAGAACAAAAUACAUCUGAGUUCCAGAUCAGCCUGAUCUCUGAUCUUUGCAGCAAAUUUCAGGACAAUCAGAGCUACAGAGCUACACAGAGAGA